UAGGCACGUGGUAGGAUUAGAUUUCCAGGUCUCCUGUGGUUGGGUUGAGGCAGGGAGCUAGUUCAGGGCAGAAGUGGCACAGACCCCUUCCGAGAUGCAUAUCUCAUCACCUGCAUGAGACCCUCAAGGACUCUCUUUUCUCCUGAGUAGGCCCAGAGGCCGUCCAGGGACCAGUAGUGGGGCAGCCCUGCUACGCUCCACACCUGAUGUGUCCAAGGCAACUGCCCCAUGUGUCACCAUUUCUCCAGACAGCAGGAAGGGGACAGAGGGCGUGCAGCUGGUCUUUAGGGAAGUGACUUAGAGUUGUUUUUGUUGACAUCUCGCAGCCUAAACUGUCACGUGGUCACGCAUCCCACAGUGGCUCCUGGGAAAUGUAGUUUCUAGUGCAGCAGCCUCGUGCCCUGCUGAAAUGCAGCGAGGUUUAUUAUUCAAAUGGAAAAGGAGGCAAGGAUGCUUGGGGCAGUUAGUGGUCUUUGACUCACUGUCCCACUCUAAAUAGCUCCUGGCUCUCCUCCACAGGCCCUGGCUGCCCACAGCCCACCCCCGAGCUGGCUGGACAUGGGGACCUUCCUCAUCCUUCCAGCUCUGAAUGACCUGGCACAAAACAUGUCUCUUCCAGGCCUUCCUUUUCCUCAUUUGUAAAAGAAGGGCUUUCAACCAGUGAUCACUGAGGUUCCUCCCAGCACUGACAUUUGAUGACUUGUGGUUUUGGGCAAGUUGUUUAACCUCUCCAGAUUUCCAUUUCCUCAUCUAGAAAAUAGAGAUAAAAAUAGUUCUUACCUCAGAGGGUUGCCGCGAAAUCAUCUAGGGUUAUGCCUGACAUAUAAGAAGUAAUCCAUAAGCGUCUGCUAUAAUCAAAAUAAUCUGAGUUCCGCUUGUCAGCUCCUUAGAAAGAAUCUGAUGAACUUGCUCGUGCUGAGGCCUAAUACAGGGUCAGUGAGUAUUUGGCACAAGUGCUGCCAUUAUUCUCUCUCUGUAACAGACAUCACCAAUCAACCAAGAUAUUCUCUGGAUUAGCCAGGGUGCAGCCUCACAGUCCACAGCGCCGCCCUCGCACAGCCCCCAUUCAAUCCAAGGCUCCGUCCCCUCCUUUGGGAAGCCUUCCUGCUUCCACCCCACGCGUGUUCCCAAAGCGGCCUACACAUACCCUGUCGUGGCUUUUUUUAGGCUGAGUUGUGACUUUUCCUUUUGCUUGUCGGUGCCCCGACUAGACCAUGAGUUCCAUGAGGCAGGGACUGCAAUUGGUCCCUCAAAGGUCUAGCCUGAUGCCUGGAACAUUGUAUAUGUUAAAAAAUGAAUCCUCGAUCCUGUGGCUGGCGAGUCGGGGAGAAGUUUGGGGGACGGGCAGUGGGCUGUAGGACUGCCUCACUGACGACCGUAUUCCCUGCCUCUGGAAGCCCCUGCAGGAGCUGUGGGUCAGGUCUCCCCGGCCAGAUCUCCCCUGCAGGGCUGGCCGGACACUUCUGAGUGAGCUGGGCUAGCCAGCACACAUGGGGCUGGGAGGAGGCCAACAAACAGGCGGGCCUCCAAGACCGCUCCGGGGAAGCUGCCCUCCCCAGGGUGCACAGGUGUCUGCUUGCACCUCAGGCUCCAGGCUCCAGGGCGCUUCCAACUUAACGACUAAUGGACCUGCGGGAGCUCGGACACCUGCUUUCUGCUUUCACAGACCACUGCCCAGCAUCACCUUGGUGACAGAACGGAGAAUGGGUGGGGGAGGUCGGGGGCAGGAGAGGGCCAGGGAGAGGGCCAGCCAUCUGCCUGGUUAGCCCGGAAGGGUGCUGACUGCAGGGCUCAGGCAGGCCGGGAUGGGACAGCAGCCACAGCUGUGCUGGGGGGAGCCCGCCUUGCUGCAUGGAGAGCUCAUAGACAGGCAGAGGUAUGGUGGCUCAACCCCCACCGGUUCCCAGUCCUGGCACAGAACCGCGCGGCACCAUCUGACUUCAGGACAUGGGUCCCAGGGGAAACAGUAUGUGAUCUGAGGGACUGGGAAGGCCUGUGUGUAACCACGUAUCUACCCUCUGGCCUGUGACAGGCCCUGAAAUGCAAGAAUCAGGAGGAAGCCAGGGCGCCUUACGAAGAAUACCUCUUGGCCACCCAAUCUAUCAUUGCAGCCAUUUUAUAGAUAAGAAACCUGAGGCUUGGGAAGGCUGACUUCCAGAGGUCACAUAAUUUGGAAACAAGGUCACAUACCUCCGGGCAUAGGGCUUGUCUCUCCGUCCGCAGGCCUCUGCAGUGAGGACCCGUUCCUCAGGCAGUCGUUGAUGCCAUUGUCCUGCAGCAGAACAGAUCUGAUGGGCAAGAGUCACCAAAGGAUAACUAACAAUUAUUAAAUAGUUAACAUUUUCUUUCCUUGAUGUCAGGUGAUCCAAACAGCACGUGGGCCAGGGGCUGGGGAUCAAGAUAGGAGCAAACCACAGACCCUGACCUCCAGGACUCUGGAGCAGGCGGUGGACUCAGGACUGCCAUGUAGUGGUGCCUGUGGAGUGUUCAGUGAUGAGCUGGUGGCUUCUCCACUGGCAGCCUUGGGCAAAUAAGAAUAAUCAUACAUACAUACAUAUGCCUGGUAUACGGGAAGAAACGUGUUAAACCCCAUGUGUGAGCUCUCCCUUCACCCCCACCCUUGCCAUGCCUGCCACCAGCCCUCUCAGGGCUCAGCCAGUGCCGUCCAUUGCUUCUGGGAGGGUUAGGAUUGUUCCAACAGGAACCGUACACAGCCCCUGGAAGAGAGGUACCAGCCAUACCCCUAGGCUUGGCUCAGGGCUUCUGACCCUGCAUGGCAACCCCUCAACUUCAAUGACCCAAGAUACCUCGGCAAAUUACUCAUCUUCCUGAGCCCCUAUUUUCUCAUUUUGUGAAACGGGGUCAGGAUUCCACUUUGCCUGGAACGUCCUGUGUCCUCACCUAUACUUAUUCCUCAGAACAGAUUGCUGGAAGCGGGAGUCCUGGAUCAAAGGGCAUCAGCACCUUUAAGGCUGGUGCUACAUAUUGCCAAAUGGUUAUCCAGAGCGAUUGUGUCAGUUGAGAAUUCUGCCAGCAGUAGGUGAAAGCACUUCUUUCCCUGCAUCCUCUUCAACACGGAGAGUUAGCUUUUCCAGAGUGUUUCCAGUUUGAUGGGUAACAAGGGCAUCCACCCUGUGAUUAAGCAUGCUGUGUGCUGGUUUAAGUUCAGGUUCUAGGGGCAGACUGAUGGGUGUAGUCCCGGCCCUGCCCCUAGGGCCAUAUGGCCCUGUUCACACUAGGCCACACUCCUUGGCCUCGGUUUCUUCAUCUGUAGGAUGGGGUUACAUUGUGGAAUUGUUGCGAGAAUUAACUACCUUAAUGUAAGCUGUGUGAAGCACGGUAGGUGCUUAAUAAAUGUAUCAUCUCUACUUCUUUGGCUAGCAGUAAAGUUGAACUUUCAUAUUUCUUAUCUUUCUUCUCUGACAGAUAAUGUGUUUGUUGUUUGUCCACUCUUCUAUGGCAGUACAGGGCUUUUUCUUACUGAUCUUUUAAUAAGUCUUUAUCUGUUAAUUACAUGAACACUAGGUCCUCUAAAUUUUAAUUCCAGAUGCCCAUCACCUACAAGCUUUUAAAACUUAAAUCCAUCUCUGUGGGUGAGGCCAGGUUGUUAGCAUUCCCGAGGCCAUUCUCCUAGGUAGCCAGGGCUGGGAUAUGGUGGUCUAGUUUUGUAUCAUCAUCUGCUUGCUAAUUUAGUUUUAUAAGCAGCUUGAGGUUCAGAAGUUUAAAUGUUAUGUGUGCAGCCACGUUCAUCUUUCUUUUCCUUUAUGAUUUCUUCAGUAUCUUUCAUGUUUAAGGGGUUCCUCCUGUUUCUCCUGGUUUGCCUUUCCCAUUCAGAUGGUCACGUGUUUCUUCUGUUUCUGCGGUGGCUGCGCGUCUCACUUCCUGUGUGAUCUUGGCAGUGUGCUGGACCCUCCUGGGCUUCUGUUUCCCCAAAAUGAGGGGGUUGGGCUAAAUCAGACUUUGCCAAAGGCAUCCGAGAUGCUUUGUGGAAAAAAGGUUUCCUGGCCAAGUAAGUUUGGAAAAUGCACAUUAUGUCAAAAGUUCUGAGAAACAGCACAGAAAAGCAGGGUGACCCAGCAGUUUCUCUCCUGGGUAUAUGCCCAAGAAAAUUGAAAACAUGUCCACACAGAACUUGUACACAAAUGUUCGUAGUGGCAUUGUUCAUAAUAGUUAAGCAGUGAAUACAAUCCGAUGUCCAGGAACUGAUGAAUGAAUAACCAAACUACCCACACAAUGGAAUAUUAUUCAGUCAUAAAAAGGAAUGAAGUGCUGAUUCAUGCUCAGCAUAAACAAACCUUGCAAACAUUAUGCCAAAUGAAAGAAGCCAGUCCUGAAAGACCAUGUAGUAUAAUUCCAGCUAUACAAAAUGCCCAGGUUAGGCAGAUCUAUAGAGACAGAAAGUAGGUUAGUGGCUGCCCUGGGCAGAGGGACUUGGGGGGAAAUGGGGAAUGACUGCUGAUGGGCACAGGGUUUUUCUGGUGGGUGAGAAGAAUGUUCUAAAGUUAGAUUGUAUUGAUGGGGUACAACUCUGUGAAUACACUAAAAGCCAGUGAACUGUACAGUUUAAAGGAAUAAGUUUUAUGGCAUGGGAUUAUGUUGCAUAAAGCUGUUAAAAAAGAAAAGAAAAGAAAGGAAAGAAAAAGAAAGGAAGGGAAGAGAAAAGAAAAGAAAGGUUAGGACUUUGGAAGAGCUGGGUGCUUCCCAACUUUGUGUCCACCUAUUCCCAGGACCUGGAGCAAGAUUUUUUUUAAGCCUUUUCAACCCUUGGUUUCCUCCUCUGAAGAGCACAGCUCAGAGCACGACUCUGCGUUGUGCAGAUGAAAAAGACACUUCCACAUCUGCUCCUUGCAGCGUCUCCAGGAAGAGGCGGAAGCCAGAGAAACGAAAUCGGAGGCCCCGCGAGGCUGGCUUGCCUAGGUUCACAGAGCCGCUAAGUGGUGUGGUGUCGGGAUUUGAAUUUGUUUCUCUCAGGCCGGUCACUUGGAAUGACGCUGGCCCAGCUGGGCUCAUGGGUUGCAGAGAGAUCUGCAGCAAUAAUGCAGAGUGUGCUCUGAGAGCCGAAAGGGGCUCUACAGAUGGGGUGCGUGCUAGCCAGUGAGGAUGGGAGAGGUGUGUCGGGGAGAGCCACACCUGUACCCACUUCCUCUGAGGCUGGGACAGCCUUGUCCCAACCUGCAGGCCCUGAGCUUUGUGUUUCUUCUUGUUGAAAUGGGAGGCUAGGCCUUACCUCAUGGCAGCUGGUGGGAGCUCCUAGUAAUGGCAGCCCCCCUUUGAGUGUUUACCAGGUGGCCUGCGCUCUGCUGGACUCAGGGCCUCGCUGGGCUAAGGCUCGGGAGAGCCUGUGAGUUCAGUGUGGUCACCCUCUUUCACAGAGGAGCAAACCAGCCAUCGUGCCACUGUUACAUAUUCCUUGAAGAGAUGAUUAAAGGCCAUAUAGUAUUCUGUCUUAGGCAUGUACCUCCUUUCACUGUUUCUCUAGUAUUUGACAUUUGUUCCUAUUUUAUUUUAAAAUGCAAACAACGCUGUGAUGGACAAACUUACAUAUACAUUUUUGUGCACCUCUCUGCUUAUUUCCUUGAGGUCGAUGCCUGGAAGAGGAAUUACCAGGUGAAAGGGUAUGAACUCAUUUACUGUUCUUCGUGUGUUGCCAGGCGGCUUUCCAGAAAAGAAAGGCUGAGACAUCCACAUUCCCACGAGCAGCAUUGGCCACGCCAGUGGGGGUAGAUUAGUAACCAGCUUGGGCGUCUGUUCUCUCUCGUCCAUUGGGAUGAUCCCCUGAAAACUGACCUGAUCUCACACUUGUUAAAACUUAUCUUAACUAGUAACUGGAAAUACUCAAUUCCAUGAAUCUAUUCUAUGGGUUUAUGGAAAUCCCCAGGGCACCUUCCCACGGAAGCCUAAUUGGUAAAGUAGAUAAUACAUCAAGAGGGAGUUGAUUUAUUAUCUCCCCCUCCUGCUGACAGCCUCCUAUCAGAAACUUUGUGCUGAGAUCUCAGGUGCCAUCUGCUGCUUGAAAUUGCCAGUCCUUGUGAGAAGUACGGGCCUUUGAGUCUGUCGUCUUCCAUCCAGUCAAUCAUAACAAUUCCUAACGUGUACUGAGUAUUUACUCAGUAAGCUGUGUGUAUUAAGUAAUUAAUCCUGAUAGCAAUCCUAUGAGAUAGACCUUAUUAUUAUGCCCGUGUUAACAGGGGGAUGAGGAAAUGAAGGCUCAGAAAGCUCGAGUAACGUGUCUGAGGUCACACAGUGAGUGAGUAGGUGGUAGAUUAGGGAUUUGAUUCCAGACAGUCUGACUCUACAGACCGUAGCCUCACCCAGCACCGUGUACCGCUGCUGUACUGUCUGGUGAUGGGCAACAGGUACUCUUGGUCAACCAGUCUUGAAUUGGCAGGAGGGUACAGAGACCUGAGACCCCAUGGCUGGGGCCAGCUUCUGGUCAGCCCCUGUGAGAACAGCACUGACAGGGAGAUUCAGCAACACCUGAGACGACCUAGUGAGGUGUUGGUGUCCAUCAGAGGAGGCAAGGUACAGAAAACAGAUGGAAAAUGGUUUUUAUCCAUUUUCCUUUGUGUUCAGUGGAAGGGGAUGUUUCCUUGUACCUCUUCCUUGGCUACCAAGAGUGACCAGUACUAAGGAUCGAUGGAGCCACCAAGAUUCUCUAGGGUCCUGCCUAGCCGUGCCCACUGCAUUCUGCCCCCGUCCCAGCAGGGCUGAGGAGUGUGGUGUGUGUGGGCACGUGUGUGCCAGUGUGUGUCACUCGUGCUCACCUCCGGUUUGCUGAAGCAGCGUUGAGCCCUGGGCCUGGCCUGGGGAGGAAGCGCUGUGCUGGCCUGGCGUGGCACUGGGCAUGGCAUGUGCUCAGAGAGGUGACAAAGCCGGGAGGGGCCUGAUGGGUGCCUGGAGAGUGAAGAGAUGGCUCAGCAAAGGCCUCAGCCCACCUCUUCCAUGAGUUCCCACUGCACUGUCAGCUCUGUGAGAGCUGGGGCCCUGCUGCUUGUCGGCUGCCACGUCCCCCCUGGUAAAUAGUUGACAAAUGUUGGGUGGAGGCAGGUGCGCUAUGAACAGAGGCUUCAAUUUUUUGGUGUUAGGAAAAUAGACAUAAAGCCCAGGAAGGGAAAGUCGGAUGUGGAAGAAAAGAGCCGUGAAGGGAAGUGACGUGAGAUGCUGUGUGUCGGACCUGGGAUGACGAAGUGUAACCUGGAGCCUGCUUGCCAGGAAGAGAAGCGAGGUCCUUGCGUGAGCACACGGUGGAAACGAGACGUCAAGAGCAGCACGAAGUAGGGCCCCAGCGAGCCGUCGUCCCACCACGCUGCCUCACCCGAAACAAGGACUUCUCCCGAUUCCACCCAACACGGUGCUGGGGCCUGGCACCGUUCGCACCCGAUGUCACCGGCAAGGGGCUCGCAGGAACCUGUGCUGGCUGGUGACUGCUGUGUGGCUUGGUGGGCAGGCCCCCAAUACCUACUGUCACGGCAGAGGAUAAUUUCUGUCCCUGGUCUGGCCCACAGGCCUCUGCCCUUCUGCCAUUCCUCCCCAAACCAGCUCUACGUCCUUAGCCCUUGGCUCCAGAAGGGUACCCAAACCUGGACUGAGUUCGGGGGCUCCUUGCCCCUUGGAGAGAAGGAACUCUUUCGUUCCUCUUCCCUUUGCCUUUUCCCUAGGACACAGCUCCGUCAGCCUUUCAGGCCUCUCCCUGGGCCCCUCCCCACAUUCACCCCGGGAUGGCCUCGGUCCUCUCAGGGCCACCCUCUCGCGUCUCUGAAGCCCCAGCCCUUCCCCCACAUCCCCUUCACCAUGCACGUACCUCACUGGCCGUAGGCUUGAUCUUGCUUGGCUCUGUGGUUGGCCAGGGCCCCCGGUCAGGAGCUCUCCUUCGGCCCCACGAAGGGGGCAGUAAGGGAAGGGCCGUAGGCUCAGGACUGUGUUGGUCCUGGUGGGAAAUGCUUGCCCCCUGUGGGUCCACCUGCAAAGUACGUAUGAAGCAAUUACUUAACAAAGGGAAAGGCAGUUAAGGAGCUCAAUAAAUAGUUUUUGAAUAAGGGAACACAAAUCUCCUCUCCAUGCUGCACACUCAAAAACGCCUCUGAUGAGAAAGCACUUUGAUUCUGGGAGCCCCGCAGGUGUGCGUGCGAAGCCCUUGAGUGCCGACCCAGAAUGGGCAACGGGAGCCCCGAGGCAGGAAAUUUCUCUGGCACCGUGAUUUCCAGUGCGUCCCGUGGCAACGGGUGUGCCAGGCUAAACACUUCUACACACCCCAAAAAGGGACCUGGGGAUGAUACGCUUGGGAAGCACUGAGUGACAAAGUGUCAGCUGGUCCCUGUACUAGGGAGACUUCUCUGAGCCUGGAUCCGGGAGGGGCUUGCUCUGGCCUUGAGGACAAUAUCCCAAGCUUAUUGGCUCCGAGGGCCGUCUGCUGGAUACCUGUCUGGGAACCUGGGGGAACAUAAAUAUGAGAACCGGAAUGAAGGCAGUUUUUAUAUCCCAACAGAGCUCCAUAGGCGCCAGCAUUUGUGCCCAAUGAAGGACAGGGUUUCCUUUCCUUCCAGGCUCCCACCAGCAAGGCCAGAGGGAGGCACGACCCUCACCCCUGACUCCCAAAGAGGUAAGUGCUGAGGACCAUGAAUAACCUGAUGACCUGGGGUCAGAGGUCUCCUCAUAUACACGUGCACACACCUGAGCUCUGGUUGUUGGCUGGCUGGCUGGCAAAAUGAAUGGAUGGAUGGUUUUCAGUCUCUGCAUGUUUGACAGCCCCCGUGCUGAAACAGAUAUUUCCUUGGCAGUCCCCACACCAAAAGCCCAUUGACUCAACUUGCUUUGGCCAGCUCAGCCCUGAGCCCCAUGGGGAGCAUGGACAGGGAGGGUGAUACUGUUCCUCCAGAGGCUGAGAUCUUGGUAUCCUUGGCCUGGUUUAACUCUGUUCAGGCUGCUAUAACAAGAAUAUCACAGACUGUGUGGCUUAAACAGCAAACAUUUAUUUCUCAUGGUUCUGGAGGCAGGGAAGUCCAAGAGGAAGGUGCUGGCUGACUCUGCCUGGUGGAGCCCACUUCCUGGUUCCUAGUCAGCUCUCUUCUCGCUGUGGCCUCAAGUGGUGCAAGCGGUGAGGGAGCUCUCCAGAGUUUCUUUCACAGGAGCCCUAAUUCCGUUCCUGAGCGCUAUACCCUCAGGACCCAAUCACCUCCCAACACCAUCUCCUUGGGGGUUAGGUUUUAACAUAAGAAUUUGGGGGCACACAAACAUUUAGUCUCUAGCACUCUACCAGCUCCAUCCAGGGCCACCGUUCAGUCUGGUCAUACAGGCCUUCCAGAAGCAUACAGAUGAUUAUAAAGAUGGACAGACAGGGGAUCAGCAUUGCCAUUUAUGGGGGUCGCUCAAGCCUUGAUUUGCCAUUUACCCCUGUGUGACCUCGGCGGCCACUUAAGCCCUCCAGCCCUCCAACCCUCGUUGCCUCACCUCCCUGCCACCCUCAGGGGGCUGCUAGUGAGAUGGAACGUGGUCAUGUGUGGACACUUGCAAGGUCCGUGGAGAGUGCCACACGCUGUGCAGAUGUCAGGGGCUGUGACUGUGGUCAUGGCAGCUGGUGAAUCACAGCCACAGGGAUCUGUCAUCUUCAGGCUGGAAGUGAGGCCUCCUGGACUCCCUUGUGCUCCGGUCGCCCUUGGCUCAGAGCCCUGCUGCGGCCACUGUCCUUUCCUUGGGCUGACCCUACUUUCACCCCAGGCCCCUACCAGACUUACUCACCUUGGCCUGGGGGAAACAGCACCUUUUCUGCCUGGAAUCCCGGGCCAUCCCUUGGCUUCUGGACAAAGCAGCCCAUUUUCAGCCGCUGCCACUCCACUCACCCCAUCCCCUUCCCAGCUCCUCUCAACCAGUGACCUUCCUCACAGCAGCCCCCUCCUUCCUUCGCCUCUGAGGUGGCACUGACCCUGGGAACAGAAAGACCUCGGUUCUGCCACGCUUGCAUUGGACAAUGACUCAACCACUCUGUGACCCAUUUUCCCUGCCUGUAAACAAGGACCCUGGCGCCCUGCAGGUUGCAGUGAAGAUAAAGCAAUGACAUGUGUGAUGUGCUGGCUUAGUGCCCAAAACAUGGCAUUUGCUCAAGAAAUGUGAGGUUUCCUCUCCUCUCCAAGUGCACCGCAGACUCUGCUCUCAGAGUCUCUGAAGUGAGGCUCCGGGAGCCCCCACCAGAGGCGCACACAGAUAAAGCCUGCAGGGCCUCUGCCACUCAAGCUCAUUCAAGGAAGCUGAGUCUGAGCUGAGGAGGAGAGGAGUCUGAGCUGCUCAUCAGCCUUUUUCUGCCGUUUUUUCUUGCCCCUGAAGACAGAGGCAGCUGACAGUGUCCAGGCUUAGGGCUGCUGGCCCACACCCCACCCGGAGCCCUCGGAGUCAGGUAGAGGGGGAGAGAGUCUGGAAUCCACAUGACGAACAGCGGGCCUUGACUGGCCCCUUCUUACACAUCAUCUUGGGACAGGUGAACCCCAGAGACAGGGUUGUCCCAGCCCAAAUCCACAGUGAAAUUGACUGGGCCCUGCCCCUCCAGCACGGGGGAUGUCCACUGCUGCAGACAGCUUCAGAUUCCUUGGACGUGGUUCAGUGGGAAUCAGCUCCAUUUAACCUCCAUGCACCGUGCACCGAGCCCCUCCUCAGUACCUCCCAGGGAUGCAGGGAUGAGUAGAGCACAGUUCCUACCCUCCGGGGGCUGCCAGCACAGGUGAUGAGGAAGAUGCUGAGAAGCGGCACCUACACUAGCGGUGCGCCACCUGCAGACAUCUAGAAGGAGACUGACGCCUGGGCCCACCCAGAACACGGAACGCAGGCACACGCACGCACGCGCUGGACAUCACCUCUGCCCUGUCCACAGUGCCUGGCCUGUGGCUCCUCCACCCCUGUACCAGUCCUUCUGGGCAUGCUCCUGCCUCUAGGUUUCUGUUGUCUGGGACACCCUUUUAUGAUGUCAGAUUUACUGAGGUAUAUAAUUUAUACAAGUAGAAUCCACAGGUUUUAAGCGUACAGUUCGGAGUUUGGACAAACGUAUACAACUGCAUAGCCUCCUGCCACAGGCAAGACAUAGAACAUUUCCCCACCGCACGAAGUUCCCUCAGUGAUCCAACGGCUGGCUCCCUGCCUCCUCGGAUCCUGUUUAAAUCGCCACCAGCAUUCAUUCCCUCUGUCCUGCUUAAAACUUCUCCCCAGCACCAGACAUCUCGUGUACGUAUAUACUUACGUACGCAUCUUACGUACUCUCCAUCCCGUACGUGAUUUUUCUGUUUGGUUUGCUGUUGUAUUCCCGGCGCUCAGGAAUGAGAGCUCAGAACCCCCAGUCCAGAGAGAGAGAGAUAAGAGAGAUGGGGGGGUUGUGGGAACAGUGGGGGUGCCUCCCUCAGCUGGGGGGACAGACCUGGAGGGCGGCAGGUGGACAAAGGAGGAAAGUACGUUGUCAUCUGAGCAUCAGAGGUCGUAUGGUGGGAAUGAUGAGAAGUGGCUGGAGAGGUGAGCAGAGGGCAUCAGUUCUGCUGGACAGGGAGUUUCUCACGCAUUUGACCCCCUACCUUAUUCCCCAAAGCAGCCUCCUCCAGAGCAGGAUCGAUAAGGGAGACUUUUAAACAGGGUCUGAUCCACAUGUUAAUGGGGACUGUCCAGGUGCAUCUCAAGGGCAAGGCUGGAAGAGCGACAGCCCCACAGGCUGGCCCCUAGGAGCUGGGAGGGAGGUGAUGGUGGCUGAGAUUGGGCCUGGGCAGUGGGUGGGAGAGGAGAGAAUUCAGUGAGGGCAGCAGUUGGUGGCAGCGGUGUUGGGGGGACCGGGAGGCAGACUUGGAGCUUGGACUUGACGCCCCUGGCAGUACGGUCCCGAUGGAGUCAGGCCUGGGACUGGAGCAGUGCAGAGUGUUCUUAGGAGAUGGGGUUUCAGUGCCCACAACAUUCCCAUAGCUUGAGAGGGACAUCAGUGGGCUGUUCUUCUGCCUGGAACCCCCUGGGCUAGGGGUCACGCCUGGCUCAGUUUCUCCCCCAGGGCCGCUCCUCCUCGGCUCCUAGCCUGCAAAUGCCAACCUCUCAGCUCUGGCCACACUCUGCCUUUUCAUUCUUCAUGCUGCUGGUGCUUCAGAUCGCCACCGGCCAGGGUGGCUUUCUCACUGCAGGACACCAGUGGGUGAUUUCUGAGCCCCUCUGGAAGCUUCCUUCUGGCUCACCCUUCCAGAGGCCGGGCAUGUCCUGAUACUUCCAUGAGGCUGUGUGAUGUUUGGGACUUUGUCUUGAAGUCCAUCUUAGACAUUUCAGCCCCUCAGAGGGCUUGAACUAGGACUUUAGAUUUGCUUCGCCAGGGAGGUGUGAAGGAUUAGUCAAAAGAUGUUGUUUUGUUGUUGUUGCUUUCCAUGUCAGCAAAUUUUAGCUGAGGCUUCACUCCGUGCUUAGCUCUGUGAUAGGAGCUGGGGAUGUGGAGAUGGAUAAGACACACUCAUUGCCCCAAGCACAGCAAGGGAAGAUGACAUAUGAGCCAAUAAACCACAACAAAGAGAGGUACAUAGAUGUAGAGCACACUGUGGGGCAUCUCAAGAGGCUGUGGUUGAAUAUGGGAGGGAGUGUUCAGGGAAAGCCUCCUAGAGGAGGUGACGUUUGAGCUGGGUUUUGAAGGAUAAAUAGGAGUUCACUCAUGGUGCAUACUAGGGAAGGCUGGCAGGUAUUCCAGCAGAAAGAAAAGUUUCUGCAGGGCCUGGAGGACUGAAGGUCCAUGAUGGGUACAGAGCUAGGAUCAUUGAUAAAGUCCUUGCUGGGUUGCUGGGGUGACCAAGCGUGACUGCGGGGAGGAAGACGUUCAUCUUGGAGAGCAGUGUGGGCAGUCCUUCACUGACUGCUUUCAGCCUCAAAUUAUGUCUGAUUGGCAUUUGCUUGCAUUCUGCCCCUGCCAUCCUUUCCCCGUGGCCUUCUCUUGUCUUUCCUCUAACUAACUCCCCUGUCUCCCUCUGGGUUUGCCCCUUCUAUGAUAGUCUGGGACUGGGUGUGAGGCACUGCGGGACCCUCCUAGCCACACAGCAGGGUCUAGAGCUGCUCCAGCAGCUCGUGGAGAGGCGAGAAGCAGGCCAGGGACUCGGGCAGGCAGCUGAUGCCCAGGAAACUAGUGGGGAUCUGUCUGUGGGUGACAGGACCCCAGCUUUGAAGGGCAAUCUCCCCACCUGCUCACUGAUCACCAUGUGGGGCUCACAGCAGGGCUCUACCUCGGAGGGCACCUGGGAUCCCAGUAGGAGGGCUGCUCAGAACCAGGCAUAGGAACCAGGGCAGAGAAGAUGAAGCCAAGCCCAUCGGGUAGGACAGAGGCAGUUAGGGAUGCCUGCUCUGGGCAGCAGCAUGGGGGCUCAGAGAGCUACAUGGGAGCCCGGAGCUGCCAGGUGGGGCUGAGCCCGUUGCUAGAAGACCUUCCUCUGAUGUAGACACCUUUGUCAGGCUGGAGCCAAUAGGUAGGAAGGAAAACCAGCUCCAUUACCUUGGGAAGGGAGGUGCUUCACAUUUUUGACUGUUUUCCUUCACAGAAUCUUGAAGGCUUGGCAGGUGUGAGAAGCUAAUGUUUCACAUUGAUCCCUAGUAUUUAUCUGGGGCUUUCCAUUUGCCAGGAACUGUGCUAUGUGUUUUGAAAACCCUGCCUCAUUUAAUCUUCAUAUUCGCUCUGCUCCGCUCCGCGUGGGAGGUGCUGUUAUCAUCCCUACUUAGAGACGAGAAACCACAGCUCAGGGCGGUUAGACGUGGCCAGGGCCGAGAAACUAAGUGCUGGUGAGACUGGCAGCUGUGCCCCGGACCACCAGACGGUGCCUCCUUACCGCCCCCCACCCCGGGCACAGAGGGGUGCCCGCACUGUGUGCCUGCCCCGCCCCACUCUGCUCCCCGCUCUCCCCGAAGCGUGUGCUUUGGGGGAUGGGCUGGAUGGGUCCCUGCCGUGGGUGGGAGAGCAGGGCUGCUCUGAGCUCGGCAAGCCCUCCUGUGCCGCCUCUCCCCUCCCCCAGCUCAGCGGAGGCCCAGCCCGGGCGUCUGUGCCUCGCGUUGGCCCUCCUGGGGCUGAGAAGCCACCCGAGGCUGAGUCACGGAGACUUCCUUGGGAUUAACGCUCCUCUGAGGUCCACGGUACCUGGUUGUGGCAGAGGCAGUUGGCCCUUCCAGCCAAGCACUAAUCCUAGUGAAAUACUUGGUAUUUCCAGUCAUUCCGGCUGGAAUUAAACUUAAAUCAAGCCCCAGAAAGCACAGCCAGGAGAAUGUGAGUUGAGUUGCCAAAGAAACCAGGCAUCCGGCCUGCUCAGACGCUGGGCUCCCGUCUCAGGGCAGGCGGGCCAUUCAUGCCCCGAGAGCAGGAGGGGCAGAGACCACAGCAGCACGCAUGGCACUGCCCGCCCAGGCACCUCCCUCCCUCGGCCCACCUGUCUGGCGUGUCCUCGUGUCCCUGAAAAUUACCACGUGGUCAGACGACAGCCUCUCAGCCAGGUUGCCUGAGGCAGCAGGGGUCGGAAGCUGGGUCCGACCUGACUCGGCAGCGAUCACGGUCCCUCUGCCCAGUGUCACGCGAUCAGCGAUGGCAGCAGAGGGGCAGCCCAGGUUGCCCGUGAGGAGCAGGGGCACCGGAGCUGCUGCCUGAGCCUGACUCCACUGCCCACUGGGGGACCACUAACGCGUGACCAUCUGGGCCUGAGUUCUCCUGUUUGGAAAAACGAGACAGUGGGUCCCUCAGCGGGUGACUGUGAGUGUUCAGUGAGUGGGUUAGUACAGAUGAAGAGUUUGGAACUGUGCCUGGCAUAUUGGAGCACUGUGUGCUUCCGUUAUGCUCUGGGCCUCGGUUUCCUCACCUGCAAGACGCAGCUGAGGGAGGGGCUUGACCCCCACGGGCCCUCAUGUUCUGCCGUUCUCUGGCUGUGACCAAGGCCCCGCCCCCAGAAGAGCACUUACCCUCCAGGGGAGGAAUUGGCUGGACAGACAGCAUUAUAUGCCCCACAAGCCACACCCUGUCCAGUGGCUGUGCCUGCGUGGAGUGUAUGUAUGUGUGCAUAUUUGUGUGUUUAUUUGUGGACAUGUGCAUGUGUGUGUUUGUGGGUAUGUGUGUACACAUGUACACAGGUAUAUUGUGUAGGUGCGUAUAUGUAUGUGUGUGUUUGUGUGGAUAUGUAUGUGUGUCUCUGUAUAUGUGUACAGGUGUCUGUGUGUAUAUGUGUGUACACGUGUGCAUGCAGGUACAUGGGUAUGUGUGUAUUUGUGUACAGGUAUGUAAGUGUUUUGCGUAUUGUAUACAUGCGCAUGUGAUGUGGGCGUGUGAUAUAUACAUGUGGGCAUGUCUGUGCACACGUGUAUACGUGUAUCCAGGUGGGGAGCACAGAGAGCCAGCCCAUUUGGUUCUUUGUUGAAGCUCAGGUGGGACUGUGGCCCCCACCUCAUCUCACACCUCCUCUCAAACCUGUCUGAGUGCACAGUGGAGGUGACACGAACCCAAGAAGGAUGGAUGGAGGGCUGGGGUAGGAAGUGAAGGUGAGGUGGAGGGCAAGAGUGUCUUAACCAAAGAAAUCCAGCAGGAUUUAGAGUGGAGGAGCUGGAGAGUGAAAAUGAGGCCAGUUACUCUGGUUGGCAUUAUGCUCUAAGCUCUGUGGCUCUCAUGUUGUAGACCAGGAAGGUAAAGCUCAGAGAGGUCGAGGAACCUGCCUGAGGUCGUCAGUGGUCGAGCCAGGACUGGGCUGCUUCACCACCCUGGGCUGACCGGUAGGAAAAGGCCGACAGACAGGCACCAUCACUGGAGCCUCCCUCUGCACGGCUCCAGGCCAGGGUGGCAGUCAGUGUCCCCAAAGUGCUAGACGACAAUGUCCCCGGCUUGGUGUAGGGGACGGAUUGCUGAGGAGGAGAAGACGGCAUUUCUACUUUAGUUCUGUUUACAGGGUGUAUCUUUGGUCAGGUCAAGUCAACUUUCUGGGCCUCAGUUUGCACAUCUGUCAUAUGGGGCCACUACCCCACCCUGGCCUCAUAUGAAGAAGCCGUGUAGUUGCUGGGGUUGAAUGUACAGCCUUUGGCGCCCUUGGAGUGAAUCCCAGACCUGACCCUUAGCAGCUGUGUGACUUUGGGCCAGUCAACCUCUCAGCCUCAGUUUUCUUACACGUACAAUGGGGAUAACAGUGGUCGCUACAUCAUGGGGCUGCUGUGAGUGUUAACUCAAAGAACGCCUGUAAAGCACUUAAACAACACCUGGCACAAAGAAAGAGGCAGUAAAAGUUAAUUACUUUUUUGUUUUUAAAGUUAAUUACUUUUGCCAUUGCGAUUAUUUCUUAAGGUUGUUAGGAGAACAAAAGAGGCUUGCUCAGAGGAGACUGCUGAGCUGUGGAGAGACCUGCUGGAAGGGAGGUAGACAAUAUUGACAUACAAUAUGAAAUAACAUGGUAGUUUGCACUCAUUCUCACCCUCCUUCCCUUUGGGAGAAAUGUUCAUUCUCACCCCACUGACAUUGGACUUGACCAUGUAAUACAAUUCAGCCCACGGAAUGUGAAUAAAUAUGGUGAUGUAUUCCAGGUCUCAGCAGAAGUUUAGCGAGAGUUUCCAUCAUCGCACUUGCUUGAGAAGUGUGUCAGAAGAACGCACUGACCAGCUGGGGAAGCUCCUACAGCCUGGGCCCUGGGAUGAGGAGUUGUGGGGCGGAGCCCGUGGAGCCACAGCCGACAGCCUCCCACAGGUGAUGUGAGUGCGAGGGAGAUGUGCGUGGUUGUGAGCCCCCGAGACACUGGGGUUGCUUGUUACCACAGCCGAACUGACACAGUAUCGAGAAGAAGAGGGGUUGGAAUAUUACUCAGCCAUAAAAAGGAAUGAAAUCUUGCCAUCGGCAACAACACGGAUGGACCUAGAGGGUAUUAUUCCAAGUGAAAUGAGACAGAGAAAGACAAAUACUGUAUGAUUUCACUCACAUGUGGAAUCUAAACAAAACAAAUGAACAAACAUAACCAAACAGAAACAAGAGUCAUAGACACAGAGAACAAACAGGUGCUUGUCAGAGGGGCGGGGCGUGGGGAGGAGGAGAGAAAUAGGCGAUGGAGAUUAAGAGGUACAGACCUGCAGUUACAAAAUAAAUGAGUCACAGGGCUGAAAUGUACAGUGCGGGGAAUAUACUCAAUUAUUAUGUAAUAUCUUUGUAGGGUGACAUCUUGUAACUAGACUUAUCAUGGUGAUCAUUUUGAAAUGUAUAUAAAUAUCAAAUCACUCUGUUGUACCCCAGGAACUAACAUAGUGUUGUAGGUCAAUGACACUUCAAAAACAAACAAACAAACCCAUAGAAAAUGAGAUCAGGUUUGUGGCUACCAGAGACAGGUAGGGGGCUCGGGGGAAGGGAAUAAGAUGAAGGUGGUCAAAGGUACAUACUUCCAGUUAUAAGAUAAAUAAGUACUAGGGAUGUAAUGCAUAACAUGAUAAGGAUCAUUAACACUGCUGUAGGUUUUAAAUAAAAGCUGCUGUCGAGUAAAUCCUAAGAGUUCUCAUCACAGAGAAAACACUUUUUUUUUUCUAUUUCUUUAAUGUUGUAUCUGUAUGAGAGGGAUGAUCACCAAACCUACUGUGGUAAUCGUUUCAUGAUCUAUGUAAGUCAAAUCAUUAUGUUGUGCACCUUAAACUCAUACAGUGCUGUACGUCAAUUAUAUCUCAAU